GACGAACGCUGGCGGCGUGCUUAACACAUGCAAGUCGAACGGAAAGGCCCUGCUUUUGUGGGGUGCUCGAGUGGCGAACGGGUGAGUAACGCGUGAGUAACCUGCCCUUGACUUUGGGAUAACUUCAGGAAACUGGGGCUAAUACCGGAUAGGAGCUCCUGCUGCAUGGUGGGGGUUGGAAAGUUUCGGCGGUUGGGGAUGGACUCGCGGCUUAUCAGCUUGUUGGUGGGGUAGUGGCUUACCAAGGCUUUGACGGGUAGCCGGCCUGAGAGGGUGACCGGCCACAUUGGGACUGAGAUACGGCCCAGACUCCUACGGGAGGCAGCAGUGGGGAAUAUUGCACAAUGGGCGGAAGCCUGAUGCAGCAACGCCGCGUGCGGGAUGACGGCCUUCGGGUUGUAAACCGCUUUCGCCUGUGAUGAAGCGUGAGUGACGGUAAUGGGUAAAGAAGCACCGGCUAACUACGUG
rnacentral:rRNA from 1 species